UCCACAAGUUAAGUUGUUUUGCAGUUUGCCUGUGCCUGCUCUUCAGGCUGCCUUCACAAAUUGUACACAUCCACUUGCUGGCUGCGACAGAAAAGCUUUUCCAGAACUGCUGCAAGAAAACAACACUUCUGAGAAAAUAUAACAUGUGACUUUUACAAAGAAUUUUAAAACCAAAUGAUAGUAGAAAUACUUGCUAGACAUUCAGACUGUCAGCAUACACAGAAGUAAAAGUAACCCCAUCUCAAAUAGAGAUUAUUACCUUUUUUUUAAGGACCCUAAAAUCAAAACAAGUAUUUGGUAACUGAUCGUUUUUGAGAAACUAAUCUUUUUUACAAAACAGUGGACUGAGGUACUGAAGUACUUAGAUGCUUAGAUAAUGUCUGUCCCUGGAUUGUAGCUAUAUAACCUUAAUAAAUAGGUUAUAAAUAGGUUAUAAUAAAUAGGGUCAGGAAAACACUGAAAACAUUUUGAAUUCUGAUGAAACAAAAUAAGCACUAUAACCAACUUCUGGAUGAAAAAAAUCUUUAUUUUUGACUUUCCCUUUUUCUGUUCUCAGGAUCUCCAUGCACUUUUUAAUGCAUCUUGAAGCCAAGAUGAAAUUACAGCCCUCAGAAGGCCAAUGGGAAGCUCACAACUGCCCGCUGCCUUCAGCAGAGCUGGGAUUUUACUCUUACUGUAAAGACAGCUUAAGAAAUACUGGGUCCAGCUACCCACUUCUAUGGAAAUAGUCAGCUGGAAACAUAGCAAAGCCUACCACACAAUUUCCUUUCCAUUUUUCCCUGCAGGGAGAUUUUUAAUCUUGAGUGGAAAACAGGAUCCAGGGAAACCUGUGGAAGCCUUAUGGUUGCCAUCUAGAGAAAGCUGGCUCUGGCUGGGCUCCUCGCCUUGCCCUGCUCCCCAUCCCACCAUUGCCUCAGCCCCAGGUUUGCAGCCCACUCUGCUUGUCCCCUCUUCUACGAUGCAACAAAGAAGGUUUGUCUUGUUUGUAUUCUGAAACACCCAGACAAGCUGUUUCCCUGCCUCCACCUUCUGUGACUCUGGGGCAUGUGCUGGAGGAUCUGCCCAUGGUUUUUGCAUGCUCUGGAAAGCCAUUCCCUUCCCACAUCUGAAUUAUGGUGCUCUUCAGCUACCUUUGGCAAGAGAGGCGCAAAUCCUGCACUGCUACAAGCUCCCAGCUCUCAAACCUGGCCUGUGCGGACAACCAUCUCCUAAUGCCUCUCCCUUUUGCAGUCCCUCCUCCUGCCUCUCUUGACUUUUCCUUGUCUGCACACCACAGAGAGCUGCCUACCCAGGCUCUGAUUUCCAUCUCUCUCCCCCAUGUCCUCACACCUGGGGAGAGCAGCCCCAAAACACCAAGGACUCCAGGCUUAGUAGCACUCAGCACAGCACUCCCAUUUGCUGUCGCACAUGGGCUGAGAGCUUCACCACUGCAGAACUGCAAAUCUUUGUGUUAGGAAGUGAAGGUGUGUGGGAUUCACAUUCUCUAAACAGAGAGAGACAUGAUUCUCUCUCCAAGGACUUUUCCUGGGAAGCUGUUAGAUGCAGUGAGAAAGCUCAGAGAAAGAAGAAAACAGCUCUUAUCUCUGUUCGCUGCUCCUGUUGUUUGGCAUAUGUGGAAUGUGUUAUGGAGAUUGUUUACUGAAGACUGAUUUGUUAAUUGGGCAUCGGUGAUGGUUGUUUGGAUUGAUUGGCCAAUUGGGUCAAAGGUGUGUCGUGACUGUCUCCAGACAGUCAUGGGAUUUUUUUUAGUAUAUUUUUAAUAUGAUAUAGUUCUAGUACAGUAUAGUAUUAAUGUAAUACAAUUUAGUUUAAUAAAAGCAAUUUAUUCAGCCUUCUGCAACAUGGAGUCAGAGCAUGUUAUUCCCCCUUCAAGGGUCACUGCUUCAAUAGAGGUGGUGCUCAGACACCAAGUUAAAUCAUCCUAGUUGCAGCUCUUUACUGGAAUUGAUUAGAAUCCACUUUCUUAUAACUGAGCACCACUUGCUUCUAUUAAUUUUCUUAACAGUAAAGUGCCCAAUCCUACAAAAUGCUAAACCUUUAAGCUGGUUGCAAAAUUUUCUUUUACUUCCCUCAGAAUUAGAAUAGCUAUUUUUUUAAUUAAGAAGUGAAUAAAUAAACUACUUGCAGUCUUUUAAGAGACAACUUCAUGCUAAGAAGAGACUAAUUACCCUCCCCAUUCACAGAAAAUAAAAGCAAAGCUUUCACCAUUUUAGAAAAAAUAAGAGACGUUAACAAGAGGAAUUGCAAAAUCUGAUUUUGUGAUGAGCUGGUUUUCCUGCAAUUUUUUAAUUCAUAGAAAUAUUUUGAGAAACCCACCUUGAGGUGUGUCAGCCUUUUAUUAUUUCCUCUUUAGAUGCAGUUGUAGAUGAGCAUGCUAUAAAUGAAACACAAUUUUCCUGAAGGCAAUCAUAAAGGUGUGUUGCAGCCUUUCCUUCUCAAUUUCACAUGGAGUGAAUUUACCACAAUGGGCAGUAAUAUUUUAAUUUGAACAACUGGAAAAUACUUACCUGCCCACUCUGUAUUCUCAGUAUAAACUCAAGAUCAGCUCUUGAGCUUUGGGACAGUAUUUAUGCUUGUAUUUAAAAGUGAAAUGUCAUGAAUAAACUGUCAAACACCUUGAGAGUAACUUCUCUGUUUGAACAGCAGUGAUUUUGUGAUAAAUGUGAUGCACACUGCACAGUCAGUUCUCAACAAUAAAUGCAGAUCUAACCAAGUUAUAUUCUGACAAUGGUUGAAGCAAGGAAACUUCCAGAGGAGUUACCUGAGAGUAACAUGCAGGAGAGCAGUACAACAGCAGGAUGGGGAUGCUGUAAUGGGAUAUAUUGCCCGUAAAUUCCUCCAUCAAAUGCAGGGAUUAAGAGCUGCCAGGAUAGUCUCCACCCUAGGUAGGUGGGGGGGAAACAAAGCCAGCACAUGGCUUGGGCAGCCAGGAAAAUGAGCCAAUUCAGCACAGGCUCAGCAGUGCUGCUGCCAGUAGGAUAUCAGUGGAGUUUGCAGGAAAAAGCCAACACUACCUCUGAGUGAGAGUGACAGACCAGUGCCCUGUGGAGCUACAGGCAUGGAACCAGAGGUGGGCAAGGUGCCAGGUGGGCGCUGGCAUUAUCUUGUGUUGCUCAAAGGGACUGCACAGCCCUGUGGCUGGCAGUCCUGCCCUUCUGUAGUGUUCUGUAGUGGCACUGGAGCAUAGGCAAAGUUACCAGUAACAAAGCAAUAGCAUUUAACCUGAACAAGACAACAUGACAGAGCAUCAUUGAGCCAUACUUUCAGUCUCAGGUAAACACAGACAGUGAGAGUAACACUGAGUCACAGGAUGUAAAACAGUUAUUCAAACAAGUAUGCAACAAAACAGCAUCAAGACAUCCCCCCUGAGGGAUACAGGACAUUUUCAUUUUUCUUGUGGUCUUUGUCAUUAAACUACCCCAUAAAUAUUUCUAAUUUUGUGUUGCAGCAAGUAAUUAAUAUUAGCUAAGCUAUACUAGGACAAAAAAAAAAAAAAACAACAAAAAAACAAAAAAAAACCACCAAAAAAAACCCUUCUCUUUCACCCAAAAGGAUGCUGGUGAUGCCAUAAGGAGGACAAAUUCCACCAAAUGUGCUGCACUUUCGACACAGGGUAAUAUUCUAUGUUAGCCUAGAGUAACACCUUAUUAAAUGCUGCAGACCACUAAUAAUGCAACCAUCCAAAUGACAGCUAAUUGCAAAUAAAAGUCUAUUACUUCAGCACUUCUGAAGUUAUUUCUUAGACAACCUAUCAAAAAUAUUUUACAUGAUGGCUGACAGAAGCCUCCCAAUGCAACAUGUUUACAUCAAUUUAAUGGUUAUUGUGAAGUUUUCACCUUAGUGAAGUUCCAUCAUGCCAAACAUGUUUCACACACUGCAACAAAGCCUUAGGAUACAGUGAGAAGACAAGGCCUGUGGGGGCCUCACUUCAUAAGAGGUCAGCAGCUAAAUGUGGGUCUGGGUCUUCAUUAAGUGUUGUCUGAGUGGAAAACUAGAGUUUAUUUACUCAACCUCAAGAUAAGCAACUUAAUGCUGCUGAUUUGAAUGCAAACAAGGGCAAGACCUCAUGCCUGGAAGACUCUCUGAUGUGGUUACAGUGGAAGCUUAGAAUAAACACAGGUUGGGAUACGAAACACAGUUGUCAUGGCCUACAAAUUCAGCAUAUUUUAAAGUAUUUAAAUAUUUUUAAAGCAUUGUCUACAACUGAACUAUCAAAGUGGUAUUGCUUUUAUUUUGAAGAUGUUACGCUUUCAAUUACAUAUUGUUUAUUAAGGUCUGUUUUGCUAAUUCACUGAAAUCUCUCCCAUAUGACAGAAAUUACAUUUGCUUCUCCAUUUAGUGACCUCAAAUGACAAAAGGUGCAGAAUGAAUUUAAGUUGGCAUAUAAAUGCAAUUAUGCCUUCCUUUUUUCUUACAGGGCUUAUCUAGUCUGCUUUAACACCAUCGCUGGGUGGUAAUGGUGUUUAACACCAUUCACAAAUGAAUAUGGGGCUCCUAAUGCUUGCAAUGUGUCCAGGACCUAAUCCUGGCAUGCUUAGUUUGUCCUUAAGAAGCUAUUUCACAUCUUAAAAUGCUUGUAGACUUCUAAAAAUUAAACUGUGGAAACCAAGGCCUCAGCUGUGAGACAAGUCUUGCUUCCUAAACCUGCUAAUCCAUUUUUAAAUUACUACUCUUAUUAAAGUACUAUUUCAAAAUUGAUCAGCAGCUUCAGAACAAAGCAUUUUUCUUUUAUGCUGUAAACACAGAAACAGCAAAGGGGUCAGUCCAAGGCAAGAAAAACUAAGUCCUCUUUCUCUAAAUGAGUGUGACUCAUUGCCUAAGAGUUACAGCUCAACUGAACAACAGAGGCAAGAGAUUUACAAAUAUGAAAAACUCUCACAGCUAUGGACGCGAGAGCAACUUGCUCUUCUAAGGGGUCUAAGCACAUUAUUGACUUGCAUUUUUGAAUCAACAUUUGAAUUCAGAAUCCAUAUGAUCCAUUGACUCCAAGUUUGCCCAACACGGAGAACAAUGAUGCUCUGGGUCCAGCAAUGCAAACAGCAACCAAUAAAAUCUAGAAGAAUUAAACGGGACAGUGAGGCUGAUAUUCAGAUUUUGCACAGUAGUGCCAGUCAUGUAGUGCUGUCAUUGGAAACACCUAUUAAAUAAAAUGCAAUUCCAGCGCCUGAACACUAAGAGGGUUAAUUCAUGAUAAAAACAGAGGUGUGCCUCAGUUUCCUUAUUUUUAUAGGUAAGCGUUUAAAUGCUUGAUUUAGCACCUCUUCCUCUGUCUUGAGUUUUGCUAGCUGAAGCACUUUUGAGGUCAUGCAGCACUGGAGUGGAAGAUGAUGUCACACAAAUGUAAAUUUCUUGAGUACUCUCAAUAAUUUUGAAGUGUGUCAUGCCAAACUCAGGAUUACUUUCACUGGUCACUUUCAGGGUGCAUUCAGAAAGGACUACAGUGUCAAUCUGGAAGUUGUCUCUCAUGACUGGGAUUGGCAAAAGACUGAUGAAAUACUAGCCCAUAGCCUAUUUUGAAAAAUACUCAUCAUGUAAAUAAACAGCAGUCUCUUCUCAUACCUAGUUACCAUCCCUUUGAGUAACAAUUUUUUUUAAAAGUACAAAGGGAUGGCAGCAGAAGGGUGGGCAUCAUCCAGAGGGCCGAUUUGAGCGCCACUAGAUUUCAGUCUUGUCUUGCCCCUCUAUUGGAAAAAAAAAACCAAAACCAAACACAACACAAACACACACAAAUAUGUGCAUAUACUAGAAAUUUUGGGCAUUGCUAUAUGAACAAACCAGAAAUCCUACUCCUUCCAAUGGGAUCUGUUAUGGAAACAGCAUAUAAUUUCAUUGUAAUACCACAAAUUUGCCACUACAUUAAAGAGCAUUACUGUUACUGAAGGAUGAACAGUAAAUCAACAUCCCCAGCUCUUCAGGCUACAGUCCCUCUGCAGGGGAAUGGUAAUUUUGAGUGUCCCUUCAUUGCAGGGUAUAAAUACAUCCCGUGAGAGAAAGAAAAGCUGAUGAAUAUGGAAUGUCUAAGCAAGAACUUCAGUCCCAAAAAUUUUGUUGUACCAGGUU
ensembl:lncRNA